rnacentral:rRNA from 1 species
GCCUACGGGAGGCAGCAGUGGGGGAUAUUGGACAAUGGGGGGAACCCUGAUCCAGCGACGCCGCGUGAGUGAAGAAGUAUUUCGGUAUGUAAACUUCUUUUCUCAGGGACGAAGAAAGUGACGGUACCUGAGGAAUAAGCCACGGCUAACUACGUGCCAGCAGCCGCGGUAAUACGUAGGUGGCAAGCGUUAUCCGGAUUUAUUGGGUGUAAAGGGCGUGUAGGCGGGAGCGCAAGUCAUAUGUGAAAACUCAGGGCUCAACCCUGAGCCUGCAUUUGAAACUGUGUUUCUUGAGUGCUGGAGAG